rnacentral:rRNA from 1 species
AUGCAGUGUACCCGCGGCAAGACGGAAAGACCCCGUGAACCUUUACUAUAGCUUGACACUGAACAUUGAGCCUUGAUGUGUAGGAUAGGUGGGAGGCUUGGAAGUGUGGACGCCAGUCUGCAUGGAGCCGACCUUGAAAUACCACCCUUUAAUGUUUGAUGUUCUAACGUUGACCCGUAAUCCGGGUUGCGGACAGUGUCUGGUGGGUAGUUUGACUGGGGCGGUCUCCUCCUAAAGAGUAACGGAGGAGCACGAAGGUUGGCUAAUCCUGGUCGGAC